rnacentral:rRNA from 1 species
GGUUAACGGAGCGAAAGCGACGUUCAACCGCAAAACAAGCAGAGGGGGCUUAGUGGUGGGGUGACUGCGUACCUUUUGUAUAAUGGGUCAGCGACUUAUAUUCUGUAGCAAGGUUAACCGAAUAGGGGAGCCGCAGGGAAACCGAGUCUUAACCGGGCGUUAAGUUGCAGGGUAUAGACCCGAAACCCGGUGAUCUAGCCAUGGGCAGGUUGAAGGUUGGGUAACACUAACUGGAGGACCGAACCGACUAAUGUUGAAAAAUUAGCGGAUGACCUGUGGCUGGGGGUGAAAGGCCAAUCAAACCGGGAGAUAGCUGGUUCUCCCCGAAAGCUAUUUAGGUAGCGCCUCGUGAAUUCAUCUCCGGGGGUAGAGCACUGUUUCGGCUAGGGGGCCAUCCCGGCUUACCAACCCGAUGCAAACUGCGAAUACCGGAGAAUGUUAUCACGGGAGACACACGGCGGGUGCUAACGUCCGUCGUGAAGAGGGAAACAACCCAGACCGCCAGCUAAGGUCCCAAAGUCAUGGUUAAGUGGGAAACGAUGUGGGAAGGCCCAGACAGCCAGGAUGUUGGCUUAGAAGCAGCCAUCAUUUAAAGAAAGCGUAAUAGCUCACUGGUCGAGUCGGCCUGCGCGGAAGAUGUAACGGGGCUAAACCAUGCACCGAAGCUGCGGCAGCGACGCUGAUGCGUUGUUGGGUAGGGGAGCGUUCUGUAAGCCUGUGAAGGUGGCCUGUGAGGGUUGCUGGAGGUAUCAGAAGUGCGAAUGCUGACAUAAGUAACGAUAAAGCGGGUGAAAAGCCCGCUCGCCGGAAGACCAAGGGUUCCUGUCCAACGUUAAUCGGGGCAGGGUGAGUCGACCCCUAAGGCGAGGCCGAAAGGCGUAGUCGAUGGGAAACGGGUUAAUAUUCCCGUACUUGGUGUUACUGCGAAGGGGGGACGGAGAAGGCUAUGUUGGCCGGGCGACGGUUGUCCCGGUUUAAGCGUGUAGGUGUGUG